rnacentral:lncRNA from 1 species
AUGUGUAUGAUUGUACUGCCUGCCAUCUUUCUCUCUGACUGUUCACUCUUGAAGCUGUUCCAAGUUCAAACAAAUCUGGAUUCAAACAACAAGGAUAUGAACAGGAAAAUAAAUCGAUGGCAGCUGUGUCAUCAAGGCACGAAACACAGAGAACGGCAUCCUAGGACAUCAGAGAUACAGACUGAUUUUCAUAGAAAAAGAGACUAAACUGAUUAGAUCAUUUUGAUUUGAGCAAAUAUGGAGAAAGGAGAUAUAAUAGAGGCAUAAACAAUUUUGAACAUUAAGGGAAAAGAAAUAAUUGUCUCUUCUGUCUCAAAGGUAAGAACUGGGAAAUACCACUGAAAUGAACAGAAAGCAGGUUAUGGGUAAUAAAAGAAAAGACCUCUCUGUGCA